GUGUAUGGCCAUACCACCCUGAAUGUGCCUGAUCUUGUCUGAUCUCAGAAGCUAAGCAGGGUCUGGCCUGAUGAGUACUUGAAUGGGGGACCACCUAGGAAUACCAGGUGCUGUAGACU
rnacentral:rRNA from 1 species